rnacentral:rRNA from 1 species
UACGUAGGGUGCGAGCGUUGUCCGGAAUUAUUGGGCGUAAAGAGCUCGUAGGCGGCCUGUCGCGUCGGAUGUGAAAGCCCGGGGCUUAACCCCGGGUCUGCAUUCGAUACGGGCAGGCUAGAGUGUGGUAGGGGAGAUCGGAAUUCCUGGUGUAGCGGUGAAAUGCGCAGAUAUCAGGAGGAACACCAGCGGCGAAGGCGGCGCUCUGGGCCGGUACUGACACUGAGGAGCGAAAGCGUGGGUAGCAAACAGG